UAUCUACUACCUCCGUUCGGAAUUACUUGUUGCAAAAAUGGAUGUAUCUAGAACAAAAAUACGUCUAGAUACAUCCAUUUCUGCGACAACUAAUUCCGAACGGAGGGAGUAAUAU
rnacentral:pre_miRNA from 1 species